GAAUGAAUGAAAAGUACUUACAGUCAACUUCCAGUCUGGUUCCUCCACCAAAAGUCCACCACAGUGAUACAAACUGGUUGAAGCGUCGUACAAAAACCUCUGACUGUACAGAGACACGCUCUCUGACUCUGAAACAAACAAACUCAAAUGAUAACACAAAAUGAACUAGAAAUAAUACAUUUUAUUGUUAAAAUUUGCUUUUUUUCAAUUAUAGAGUUGUAUUUAAUCUAUAAAUAAUCUUUUAAAUUAUACUAAUAAAACACAAAGUUGUAAAUAUUGUCAUAUUAAGACAAAUGAAUGAUUCAAAGGUGCAUCAAAGACAUUUGCAAGAAUACAUCAUUUUGAAUAAUUGCAAAAAAUUGUAUAAUUAAAUAAGUUAUAAAACUACUAAAAUUAAAAUGCCAAAGAAUUUAGAAAAAAAACAGAAAACACUGAUUAACCUAAUGUAACUUUAGAGUUAUUCUUCUUUCUUUCACAUAUAUUCAUAUAUUUAGAUUUUCUGUAAAUAAAUACUUUGUCGGGAAUUUCACAGAAAAUACUGAUUUACAGAAAGCCUCUUCAGAUUGAUUCUGCAUUAUUCCAUUUAUAUUCACAUCUUUAGAUUUUCAAUAAAGAAGUGUUUUUGGUAGAGUUUCACUGUCAUGUUUCUCUCCAUAUUUUGAUAAAUUCAGUGAUUAGUUACUGUAGUUUUUAUUAGUUUUUUUUACUAUAUGUUGCAGGUUGCAUUCUGGGAAAUGUUAAAUGCACUUAGUUUUGCUUACUUGCUGUACAGACAUCUCUAAAAAAUUCUUAAAAAGAAGUUUGUGUGUUUGUAUACAUAGAAUAAUGUAUUUGUGUAGUAACCAUGGUGACAUGUGUAGAACAGCAGCUCCUGACUGGUUCAGUGUGUUUGCAUAUGUGUGCUGCCUCUCUGCUUCCAGCAGUUAAAGCUCAGUGUUGAUCAGUGGCUGUCCAGACCUUUCAGAGACUCGGACUCGCCCGCAGCACAAUGAUGAUGUCACUGACUCUGCUGCUCUUCACCCUGGAGCUCCUCGUUCAGGCUUCAUCAGAAGAACUGCUGACUCAGACUCCUGGAGCUCAGUCUGUAGUUCAAGGACAGACUGUCUCCAUCACAUGUAAAUCCAGUAGAAGUGUUAGCUACUACUUCAACUGGUAUCUUCAGAAACAAGGAGAAGUCCCUAAACUUCUAAUUUAUGGUGUAAGCUCUCGUCCAUCUGGAGUUUCUGAUCGUUUCAGUGGAUCAAGGUCUGGAUUAGAUUACACUAUGACCAUCAGUGGAGUUCAGCCUGAAGAUUCAGGAGUUUAUUACUGUCAGACUGGAUACAUCAUCAACAGUCAGUCUGUGUUCACACAGUGAAAAACCGUCGUACAAAA